UACGAAGGGGGCUAGCGUUGCUCGGAAUCACUGGGCGUAAAGCGCACGUAGGCGGAUUGCUAAGUCAGGGGUGAAAUCCUGGAGCUCAACUCCAGAACUGCCUUUGAUACUGGCGACCUUGAGUCCGGGAGAGGUGAGUGGAACUGCGAGUGUAGAGGUGAAAUUCGUAGAUAUUCGCAAGAACACCAGUGGCGAAGGCGGCUCACUGGCCCGAUACUGACGCUGAGGUGCGAAAGCGUGGGGAGCAAACAGGG
rnacentral:rRNA from 1 species